rnacentral:rRNA from 1 species
UACGGAGGGUGCAAGCGUUAUCCGGAUUCACUGGGUUUAAAGGGUGCGUAGGCGGGUAAGUAAGUCCGGGGGGAAAUCUCUGAGCUUAACUCAGAAACUGCCGUGGAUACUAUUUGCCUUGAAUAUUGUGGAGGUGAGCGGAAUAUGUCAUGUAGCGGUGAAAUGCUUAGAUAUGACAUAGAACACCAACUGCGAAGGCAGCUCACUACACAAUGAUUGACGCUGAGGCACGAAAGCGUGGGGAUCAAACAGG